UACGGGGGGGGCAAGCGUUGUUCGGAAUUACUGGGCGUAAAGGGUUCGUAGGUGGCCAACUAAGUCAGACGUGAAAUCCCUCAGCUUAACUGGGGAACUGCGUCUGAGACUGGAUGGCUCGAGUGCAGGAGAGGAACGCGGAAUUCCAGGUGUAGCGGUGAAAUGCGUAGAUAUCGAGAGGAACACCUGCGGCGAAGGCGGGUAGCUGGGCCGACACUGACGCUGAUGCGCGAAAGCCAGGGGAGCGAACGGG
rnacentral:rRNA from 1 species